rnacentral:rRNA from 1 species
UACGAAGGGGGCUAGCGUUGUUCGGAGUUACUGGGCGUAAAGGGCGCGUAGGCGGCGCACCAAGUCAGGCGUGAAAGCCCUGGGCUCAACCCAGGAAUUGCGCUUGAGACUGGUGUGCUUGAGUACGGGAGAGGAUAGUGGAAUUCCCAGUGUAGAGGUGAAAUUCGUAGAUAUUGGGAAGAACACCGGUGGCGAAGGCGGCUAUCUGGACCGUAACUGACGCUGAGGCGCGAAAGCGUGGGGAGCAAACAGG